rnacentral:lncRNA from 1 species
GAGAGAGAGAGAGAGAGGGAGAGAGGGAGGGAAGGGAUUCUAGGGCUAGGUCUCACCUGGGAGAAGAGCAUGGAUCCGAAGAAGCCGGCGAGGAAAAAGAGGGAGCAGGAGAGGAGCACGGUGGGGAGGCCAAGCUUGGUCCUCCCCAGUGCCACCAAGGUCGACCUCCCUUUGUUUCCUUUCAUGGGAGCGGAUGCUUGGAAGCGGGAAGAGGGGAAAGAAAGAAAUGAGACGAGAGGAAAUUGGAGGACAGUAAACCGGGAUCUCCCGUGUGUCCGAGGAGAAUCCUCUUCUGUUUUAGUCUUUUAGACCUCCCACCGGCCACCUCCGUUGUUGGGAACUUUUUAAUUAAUUGGUUUUUUUUUUUUUUUUUUUUUUUUU